CCUACGGGUGGCUGCAGUCGAGAAUCAUUCACAAUGGGGGAAACCCUGAUGGUGCGACGCCGCGUGGGGGAAUGAAGGUCUUCGGAUUGUAAACCCCUGUCAUGUGGGAGCAAAUUAAAAAGAUAGUACCACAAGAGGAAGAGACGGCUAACGCUGUGCCAGCAGCCGCGGUAAUACAGAGGUCUCAAGCGUUGUUCGGAAUCACUGGGCGUAAGGCGUGCGGAGGCUGUUUCGUAAGUCGUGUGUGAAAGGCGCGGGCUCAACCCGCGGACGGCACAUGAUACUGCGAGACUAGAGUAAUGGAGGGGGAACCGGAAUUCUCGGUGUAGGAGUGAAAUGCGUAGAUAUCGAGAGGAACACUCGUGGCGAAGGCGGGUUCCUGGACAUUAACUGACGCUGAGGCACGAAGGCCAGGGGAGCGAAAGGGAUUAGAUACCCCUGUAGUC
rnacentral:rRNA from 1 species